AUGGAGUCUGUUUUGGUUUUUGGAGACCAAAAUCAAGGAGCAGUUUUCCUACGUGAAUUUACGUUGAUUCGGAGAGAAAGUCUUCACGAUGAUUUCCUAUCUGAUUUGCUGAAUAACCACAAAACAGAAGACCCGCUGUCAUGUGGCCCAUGCUUCUGGUCUAGGACGCUGACAAAAGGUUUUGGAAACUCCUGCCUCUGAACUGUUCAGUAAAUUACACAGUCAGCAAAAUGCAGUGAUGAUUAUAGAAUUUACACCAUUGACAGAAGUCUUGGACUCUAACAUUUUCAUUGGCUGUGCCAGAAAUUGUUUCUCUUUCUUUAGGUCUCCUUUCCUUUUCAUUUAUUUGUUUUAUUAUUUAAUUACUUAAGUAUUUAUUUAUUGAUGAUAUAAUGUGUGAUUCUUAUCUCAUGGUUGCAUAAAGCUUACAGUGAUGAUAUUAAAGAACAUAAAGUUUUAUAAAUGGUUUUUUAACAAGCAUAUCUAUAGACAAAGCUCAUGUAUUUCCAUGUUUAUAUAAAGAACUCAACAAGUUUGGGUUUGGAGACCUGAAUAAACCUAGGUCAGAAUCAAGUGUUUAGCUGCA
rnacentral:lncRNA from 1 species